UCACUUCACAUUAAGGUGCAAGGGCUUAUAUAGGACCUGCCGGUUUCGGCCGGCUAUGGCGAUAAAUUGCGGUGUGCAAUAGGCACAGCGGACCCGGGGGCAGUACCCGGCGGCUCCACCAUAAAGCUCUGGUUUCUUUCGGGAAAUCCGGGAAUUCUGACGGGGCCGAACCAGGAUCGACGUGUGUUGAAAGAC
rnacentral:tmRNA from 1 species